GCAGCAUGCGGAGCAUGCAUGUUACACGUAGAGAGAAAGAGCUAGGGUUUGUUGCGGGGAGAUUGUUAGUAAGUUGUCUUGCCGAGAUUCAAGUUAUCGAGGUGAGUGGUUUAUAUAAUGUGUUUAAAAAUUCUUAUUUUCGAUAAAUGCAAACCACAAACUAUUGUGAGAUUUAUUCUAUUUACAAAUCUCGAUCUAUUUCAAGUUAAGCAUGUUGGAUUUUGUGAAGUACUUUUAGAGUUAUUAUAUAUCUGGUCAGUGCAUUGUUUGAGAUGUUCAUGGAGCAUGAGAACUUUAGUGUUGCAUUAAUCUGAGGGAUAAAUGUAAAUUGUACACGGGGACACUAAGGCAGAAUGGCUAUUAGGGGUCACAUGGUGAGUUUCAAUUUAUGAAAGAUAUAAUGGAAAUGUGAAGGGACGAUGUGAUAUGAAAUUAUGUGGCUAAAGCUAUGAUAUUAUUAUUGUAUUUUCUAGAGUGUGUAAAAAGGCAUCGCUUGAUUGGCAUAUUAUAUAUUCUACUCACUGAGUGAUGGUGAUUGUUGCUCACACUUCACCUAUUAUUUUACAGAUGAGUUAUUUGGCAAGACAUGUGAUAGACGAGCUGAGAUUGUGUUAGAUAUGAGGGAUUUAAGUUUUUAAUUUAUUUUGUACACCUGUAAGGAUUUUGGAGUUAUUUUUAUAAAAGAAGUUUGUUUUUCGUUUUUAUUUUUACAUUUAUUUGCUCGCCGGGCGAUGGGUUAAUUUUUUUGCCGAUCUUGGGUCUGGGGCAUGACAAAGUUUUAAGUCUUAGGUGCCAAGGAUCACACUUCAGGCAUGAUGCCAUACCUUGGCAGGCCUUGAUUCUACCAUAUGUUGUAAAAACAAACUCGAAAUUGGAUUGUGAGAGAUAAACCCAGACUUGGGUUCGGUAGGCUCUAACCGAAGCCGGAGGGGUUUGUUCGGUAGGCCAUUGCCAAAGUGGAGCAAUACCGUUUGAUACAACUCUGCCGAAGUAGAACAUCACCUUCAAUGCAUCCCUGCCAAAGCAGGGCACCACCAUUUGAUAGACUAUAGCCGAAUCUAUACCAUUCACUCAUAUUUGUGGUAGUAAUUAGAUCCAAAAUUUUGGUAAACUUCCGUUCUCUACACUGUUGCUUCAGGAGUUAGUUAGAAACUUGGAAGGACGAGAAAAAUAUUCUCCAAUCAAAAUUUGAUCAGAUUUAUAAACUUUAGAAUCGUACUCAUGCAUGGACGUAUUCAUGGUGUGCUUCAGGCAAUAUCGUUCAUGAUUAUAUGGUCCGUAGGAGUGAGCCAAAAAGCCAUGAAAUCCUCGUUCGAGAGGUACUUCCAUUUGUAAUGCUUCGAGCAUAGGUCUUAGAAUAAAGAUCAUGACGGAGGCUUAUUCAGCUCUUCUAUACCAUUGUUGGCUUCAAUGGUUUCUCAGCUUCUUGAUAGUCAAGCAGAGAUUCAUGUCUUGUACCCUACAUAAAAUGGUUUAUAUUAGAAACGUUCAAAUCAGGAAAAUUGAACUUGUGAUGGUUCGACAAUUCAUUGAAUGGAGGGAACAAUAUUGUGAAUAGUGCAAUGAAAAAUAAAACAUCCAUAAGCUCAAAGUUAGAACAUUAAGGUUCUAAGACAUAGUUUACAUGAAAAACAUCAGGUUUUCAUGGGUGUUUUGUUUUAAGAAAACUUCGGGUUUCAAAGGCACUAAAUUUGAAACUACAUGUUCAAUUUAGUUAUGAAUGUUUAGUUCAUAAAAGAGAGGUUCUUGCAAGAACAUAGAAUACAAGGUACUGAUUUAAGUGUAGUGGAUUUGGGUUUCUUCGAGAACUCAAGUGUGAGCGCUUCGGGACUACGAAAGGCUAUCAAUGGUUCAAAGAAGAAAAAUAAAUUAUUGAAUCGUUAAUGUCCAAAAGUGAUCUUCGGGCCAAUAAUUUUGGAUGUCUUGUCAGAUUAAUGGACUACUGGUCACUUUAAUUAAUUCAAUAGGUCAGGACCAUACGGAAUCGAUCGUGGAAGCAAAAUAAUGACAUGUGGGUCUUAUUAGCUUCAAUUAGCGGUGGGCCAUGUGACAAGUGAAUUAUAGGUUAAUUAGCAUUAACCAAAACAUCCCAAAAAUUAAAUGGGUGUGGUUAUGAACCGGGAAUGCCAAAAGUUGGCAUUGGAUCGAAAAAACAACACAGCCCAGCUUAAUUAGGUUAGUUGUAAUGCAAGGGCAGGGCUCUGUAGCAUGGUUGCAGACCUUUAAGGGUCACAUAAAGGAUGCAAACCUUUGGGCCGUGGGUUGGGGUGAGCGCAAUAGCAUGGGCUGCUGGUUUGGGCCAAAACAGGGCACGAUGGGAUAAGCCCAGUACGGGGCUGGCCUGGGUGUGCGGGAAAGCCCAGCCAAGGGCUUGGGCGAAGCAGAGCAGGCAAGCUUGGGUUUGAGGACAAAGGCCUAGCAGAAUAGGGCUACUGCUUUUUGGGUUAGGGACACGGUAUGACAGAUCCAAGAGAUCUGCAGGCCUUUUUUGGAGUUGGGCUGGGCUAAAGGCCCAAGGAAACCCUACUAGGCUGAGGGCUUGGUAUGUCUUGCGUGCGCAGCAAAGACUAAAGGGUUGCUGCCAUGUGGUCCAGACGUCAAACAUCGCCCUAAGGCCUUCCAUGCUGCUAGGUUGCAGGCUAGCAAUGAGGCUUAGCUCAGUGGUGUUGGUGGGGUGAGUAGCG
rnacentral:lncRNA from 1 species